UAACAAGGUCUCCGUAGGUGAACCUGCGGAGGGAUCAUUACUGAGUGAGGGCUCACGCCCGACCUCCAACCCUUUGUGAACUCAAGCCGUUCUCUCGGGGGCGACCCUGCCGUUCUCGGCGAGGCGCGCCCCCGGGAGCCUCCCAACACUGCAUCUGUGCGUCGGAGUCAUAAGUAAAUUGAACAAAACUUUCAACAACGGAUCUCUUGGUUCUGGCAUCGAUGAAGAACGCAGCGAAAUGCGAUAAGUAAUGUGAAUUGCAGAAUUCAGUGAAUCAUCGAAUCUUUGAACGCACAUUGCGCCCUUUGGUAUUCCGAAGGGCAUGCCUGUUCGAGCGUCAUUUCACCACUCAAGCCUCGCUUGGUAUUGGGCGCCGCGGUCCCCGCGCGCCUCAAAGUCUCCCGGCUGAGCUGUCCGUCUCCGAGCGUUGUGAUCCAUGAUCGCUCCGGGGUGCGGGCGGCCGCGGCCGUUAAAUCUUUCACCAGGUUGACCUCGGAUCAGGUAGGGAUACCCGCUGAACUUAAGCAUA
rnacentral:rRNA from 1 species